GUGAGGAAUAUUGCCCAAUGGGGGCAACCCUGAGGCAGCAACGCCGCGUGAGGGACGAAGGCCUUCGGGUCGUAAACCUCUUUUCUGGGGGAAGAGCAAGGACGGUACUCCAGGAAUAAGUCUCGGCUAACUACGUGCCAGCAGCCGCGGUAAAACGUAGGAGGCGAGCGUUAUCCGGAUUUACUGGGCGUAAAGCGUACGCAGGCGGCUGGGCAAGUUGGACGUGAAAGCUCCUGGCUCAACUGGGAGAGGCCGUUCGAAACUGCUCGGCUUGAGGUUGGGAGAGGGGUGUAGAAUUCCCGGUGUAGUGGUGGAAUGCGUAGAUAUCGGGAGGAACACCAGUGGCGAAGGCGGCACCCUGGCCCACACCUGACGCUGAGGUACGAAAGCGUGGGGAGCAAACAGGAUUAGAAACCCGUGUAGUCC
rnacentral:rRNA from 1 species